rnacentral:rRNA from 1 species
UGGGGAAUCUUGCGCAAUGGGCGAAAGCCUGACGCAGCAACGCCGCGUGCGGGAUGAAGGCCCUCGGGUUGUAAACCGCUUUCAGCAGGGACGCGGUACCUGCAGAAGAAGCCCCGGCCAACUACGUGCCAGCAGCCGCGGUAACACGUAGGGGGCGAGCGUUGUCCGGAUUUAUUGGGCGUAAAGAGCUCGUAGGCGGUUCCGUCAGUCGGGUUGAAAACUCUGGGCUCAACCCAGAGACGCACCCGAUACUGCGGGACUAGAGUCCGGUAGGGGAGUGCGGAAUUCCUGGUGUAGCGGUGAAAUGCGCAGAUAUCAGGAGGAACACCAACGGCGAAGGCAGCACUCUGGGCCGGUACUGACGCUGAGGAGCGAAAGCGUGGGGAGCGAACGGGAUUAGAUACCCCAGUAGU